rnacentral:rRNA from 1 species
UAUCUCUGUAGAGUCUGCAUAUCAAUAAGCGGAGGAAAAGAAACUAACAAGGAUUCCCUUAGUAACGGCGAGUGAAGCGGGAAGAGCUCAAAUUUGAAAUCUUCAAGGUUCUACCUUGACGAAUUGUAGUUUAUAGAAGUGUUUUCUGUUAGUGGAGUGGCAAAAGUUCUUUGGAAUAGGACAUCAUAGAGGGUGAGAAUCCCGUAUUUGGUCAUUCCUCCUAGCGUUGUGAUACACUUUCAACGAGUCGGAUUGUUUGGGAAUGCAGUCCAAAACGGGUGGUAAAUUUCAUCUAAAGCUAAAUAUUGGCGAGAGACCGAUAGCGAACAAGUACCGUGAGGGAAGGAUGAAAAGAACUUUGAAAAGAGAGUUAAACAGUACGUGAAAUUGUCAAAAGGGAAGCGUUUGACACCAGUGUUGUUUUUCCGAAAAUCAAUUACGAAUGUUUUGUUUUUGAGGAGUUAUGACUUCAUCGGCUUGCUUCCUUUCUUUACGAAACUUUCUUAAUGCACUUUUCGGUUAACAAGUCAACAUCAAUUUCUUUUGUUGUAAAAGGGUAUGAGGAAGGUGGCUUUCUUUUCGGAGAAAGUGUUUAUAGCCUUGUGCCUCUGCAAUCGGAGAGAUUGAGGUCUGCAGCGUAGAUCCUUCGGGGUUAGAUACAUUUGUGCUAAGUUAUAGCCUUUCAUAGACAACUUGUUGACUAUGAUCAGUCAUGUAGCUUACUCGCUUAUGCUAUUUUACCUACGCUUAGGAUGUUGAUGUGAUACUGCGAGCA